AGAUGGUGGGGUGUAUUGACUGAACACUUUAUAACCACAUUUCUACAACUUUGACACAUUGAGUUUUUUUUUCCUUUCAGUGCUCAAACACCACUUACAUUUUUGCUUUCUGUUUCAUAUUGAAAGUGGUUUGAUGGCUUUAUAUUGGCAUGUGUGACAAUGGAGUCAUGUGACUGACGUGUUCUGUAUAAGAAACAAGCCGUGAACAGAGAGAGACAGAAUGCCUUUGCAAAUGAAAGUAGUUUGUGAGACGGUACAGAGGACAGAAAGGAUUGACAGGUAACUUCAGAUUUCUGCAUCAAGAAUGACCGACUACUGCACUGAAGACACCUAUUUGUAUCUGCUUCCUUGAUAGCAUCACGAUAAAACCAUUUCAACGUGGAAACAAGUGUUUUGAGGCCGCAGGAACAAGAACAUCUGAAGCGGCAGUGUGAAUAUCUAAUGCAACAUGCAGGCACUUGAAAAUCUUACGAAACAGCCAGCGGACUGAAACCCCGGCCUUUGCACACUCACAUACAUACACACAAUCAAUUGAUUUAAGACUUUCUGAAAAUGCCUAAAAAGCUACCACCUCAUCUGUCUGAUCUGCUACACAGAUUAGGUGAAGCUGGGAGAUUAUUUAUUGAACAGUAUGACAUCAAGAAAGAAAGAAUGCAAGCCAUUGCAAGUGAACUCAGGGUUACAUCUAAAGAAGUGCAAGAGAUGCAGAAAAGCGCAACCACAACCAGAAUGAUGGGGGCAGUUUUAGGAGGACUUGGAAUAGCUGUGGGAAUAGGUGUAGCUUUGCAAACAGGAGCUGAAAAAAUGGCAAUAGCAGGAGGAAUUGCAGUAUUUGGUGGAGGUACAGCUGUUAUUACCGCAAAUGUAGCCAAGGCAUUGGCAGAGAUCACAGGUAUACAUACUGUGGAAGAGUUGGGGAAAGAAUUCAUGGAAAUCAUUGAACUACAAAAGGAUAUCCUGAAAGAUAUUAUGGCGGUGUCUGAGGAGUUGGAGGAAAAAUCCUCCUCAUUAAUAACAACAACUAAGACACAGACAAAAGAAAGUCUGACGAAAACAGAACAACUCCAGCAGGUUCUGAAGCGAACAGCUGAACUGUCUGAGAGGAGCAAGAAAGUUAUGACCAUGCUGAGUCAAGUGAGGGAACUAAUCAACUUCAUUGCCACUUUAAUCCGAAUCACUCCAAAUCCUGAGCAUGACGAAAAGUUAAGAAACUGCAUCACAGAUUCAGCCCUGCAGUGCGAGAGAACUGUUCAUGAGUUUGCAAAGAUGAGGAAUACGCUCAAGGACUUUGAGGAAAUGCAAACAGAAUAGGAAGGAGCAACAUUCUAACAUUGCAAUGAAGAACAUUGUUUUAGCACAACUGGCUAUCUAUCUAUUUAGCUGAAAAGCUAUCUAGCUGAGUAGCUAUCUAUCUAUUUAGCUGAAUAGCUAUCUAGCUGAGUAGCUAUUUAGCUAUUUAGCUGAACAGCUAUCUAGCUGAGUAGCUAUUUAGCUAUCUAGCUGAAUAGCUAUCUAGCUGAGUAGCUAUUUAGCUAUCUAGCUGAAUAGCUAUCUAGCUGAGUAGCUAUGCACUUUUCCCCAGAGAAUGUGUGUAUGGUGGCUCGUUCAUCAAGCUAAAGUGUAGGACAAGACAUGCGUUGUUGUUUGUAAGCAGGGUUUGUUUCAGUUGCACAUUAGAUAAAGGGAUAAUAGUGGGACAAAUAAAGAAGGUUACAUUUUAUACAUUUGGAGCAUUAUUUUCUGCACUUUUGUGCUUUUUUUUAUAUAAUAGAAUGUAAAAAAAGUGUUUUGGGAGGCAUGACUAAUCAUUGCACUUUGUUGUAUUUGUACUGUGCUUUAUUUAUCUGUGUUUUUAUUCAAUUUUUCUUUGCUUCCAUAUGUUAAGGUUGAAACACAUCUCCCGGUAAAGGGUUGACAUAGAAAAGUGAUUUUCUUGAUUUUCUUAGUUUGAAAAGUGUUAGAUAGCUAUGUACUUAUUUUUCUAAAACAUACAGAUGUUAAGUUUUCCAAACCUAUUGUUUUAUAACAUUGUCUGUGCUAAAUAGAAAUAGCUGCCAUGGGUGAUAACUGACUAAUCAAAACAAAAAGUAAUCUGCUAAUUAUUUAUAGCCGUCGGAAUGUCAAACUGGUUUAACAAGGAAGUUGUUCCUCAGUGAGUGACACCAUAAAGCAUCCAGAA